UGGAAGUUUCAGUUGCUAGGCUGUCAUAACAAUACUUUUAACCAGGACAAGUAUGCAGAAAGACUUCUAGACUUUCAUGAUCUGCACACUUAGGGGUGACCUGGAACACAUGAAGCCAGUUGUUGAGCAUAACAGCAGGUCAAUAAUUUUGGGUCAGCAGUGAGCCUUUUUUAUGACAUGUUUAAACUUUGUAUUUUUAAUCUCUACCUCAAAUGUUAUCUCUUGUAGACAUGUUGCCAUUGAAAAUGUUAUAUUUUCCAUUAUUGGAAGCCUUGACCACUUCAAGCAAGUUGAAGGCUGAACACUCCAAGCAUGAUGGAAUCCAUUUUCUUGCCUGCAGCAUUAGUGGAUGCUGGCGAGAUGACCAUCAAGGCUGAAGUAUGGCAACACUGUGCUGUUUGAGAGUAAACUGAGAGACAAGUUGCAAUUGAAAAUGUUAUCUUUUCCAUUAUUGGAAGCCUUGACCACUUCAAGCAAGUUGAAGGCAGAACACUCCAAGCAUGAUGGAUUCCCUUCUCUUGUCCGGCAGCAUUAGUGGAUGCUGGCGAGAUGACCAUCAAGGCUGAAGUAUGGCAACACUGUGCUGUUUGAGAGUAAAUGGAGAGACAAGUUGCAAUUGAAAAUGUUAUCUUUUCCAUUAUUGGAAGCCUUGACCACUUCAAGCAAGUUGAAGGCAGAACACUCCAAGCAUGAUGGAUUCCCUUCUCUUGUCCGGCAGCAUUAGUGGAUGCUGGCGAGAUGACCAUCAAGGCUGAAGUAUGGCAACACUGUGCUGUUUGAGAGUAAAUGGAGAGACAAGUUGCAAUUGAAAAUGUUAUCUUUUCCAUUAUUGGAAGCCUUGACCACUUCAAGCAAGUUGAAGGCAGAACACUCCAAGCAUGAUGGAAUCCCUUCUCUUGUCCGGCAGCAUUAGUGGAUGCUGGCGAGAUGACCAUCAAGGCUGAAGUAUGGCAACACUGUGCUGUUUGAGAGUAAACGGAGAGACAAGUUGCAAUUGAAA